UACAGAGGGUGCAAGCGUUGUUCGGAAUUAUUGGGCGUAAAGCGCGUGUAGGCGGCUUUGCAAGUCGGGUGUGAAAGCCCUCGGCUCAACCGAGGAAGUGCGCCCGAAACUGCAGAGCUUGAGUACCGGAGAGGAUGGCGGAAUUCCCAAGUAGAGGUGAAAUUCGUAGAUAUGGGGAGGAACACCGGUGGCGAAGGCGGCCAUCUGGACGGAUACUGACGCUGAGACGCGAAAGCGUGGGAGCAAACGGG
rnacentral:rRNA from 1 species